AGCAGUGUAGCUUAGUGGAAAGAGUGCGGGUUUGGGAGUCAGAGGUUGUGGGUUCUAAUCCCAACUCUGCCA
rnacentral:tRNA from 1 species